rnacentral:tRNA from 1 species
GCCUGGGUGGCUUAGUCGGUUGAGUGUCUGACUUCGGCUCAGGGCAUGAUCCCACCAUCUGUGGGUUUGAACCCCACAUUGGGCU